AUAACAUAUGAUGAACAUGGCGGAUUCUAUGAUCAUGUAGCUACUCCAAACAAUGAUGUUCCAAAUCCUGAUGGAAUUCACGGCCCUGGACCAGAUUUGUUUCAGUUUGAUAGACUUGGGGUUCGUGUUCCCACUAUCAUGGUUUCGCCUUGGAUUAAGAAAGGAACAGGUUGUUAGUCACCCAUUAUUUCCUAUCUUCAAUUUCAUUUAUAUAUAACAAAGUUACCUCCAUUAACACAUUGGUUUUUUGCAGUGGUUAGUGCGCCAAAUGGACCAACUCCCAAUUCUGAGUAUGAGCAUUCUUCCAUACCUGCAACCAUAAAGAAGUUGUUUAAUCUCAGCUCAGAUUACCUUACUAGCAGAGACGCCUGGGCU
rnacentral:lncRNA from 1 species